GGAUCCGACUCCCGGUUACCUGCAGGGGGCGGUCCAGCCCCUGGAGUACAGGUGCUGACCGGAGGGGUCUCUUUCUCUCCAGGCCCCCACCCUCGCGCCAUGGGGCUGGAGACCCAGAGGCUGCCGGCGGCGGCCGAGGAGGCCCCAGUGAGGGUGGGCCUGCGCGUCCGCCCGCUGCUGCCCAAGGAGCUGCUGCACGGCCACCAGAGCUGCCUGACCGUAGAGCCCGAGCACAGCCGCGUCACCCUCGGUCGAGACCGCCACUUUGGCUUCCACGUGGUGCUGGAUGAGGACGCGGGGCAGGAGGCCGUGUACCAGGCCUGCGUGCAGCCCCUCCUCGAGGCUUUCUUUGAGGGCUUCAAUGCCACCGUCUUUGCCUACGGCCAGACAGGCUCCGGGAAGACGUACACCAUGGGGGAGGCCAGUGUGGCUUCCCUUCACGAGGAUGAGCAGGGCAUCAUCCCCCGGGCCAUGGCUGAAGCCUUCAAGCUGAUCGACGAGAAUGACCUGCUGGACUGCCUCGUGCACGUGUCCUACCUGGAAGUGUACAAGGAAGAGUUCCGAGACCUGCUAGAGGUGGGCACUGCCAGCCGAGACAUCCAGCUUCGGGAGGAUGAUCGGGGAAAUGUUGUGCUGUGUGGCGUGAAGGAGGUAGACGUGGAGGGCCUGGACGAGGUGCUGAGCCUCCUGGAGAUGGGCAACGCAGCGCGGCACACGGGGGCCACGCACCUCAACCGCCUGUCCAGCCGCUCACACACUGUGUUCACCGUGACCCUGGAGCAGCGGGGGCGCGCCCCCAGCCGCCUACCCCGACCCACCGCGGGCCAGCUGCUGGUCUCCAAGUUCCACUUCGUGGACCUGGCGGGCUCAGAGAGGGUGCUCAAGACGGGCAGCACAGGCGAGCGGCUCAAGGAGAGCAUCCAGAUCAACAGCAGCCUCCUGGCGCUGGGCAACGUCAUCAGCGCCCUGGGCGAUCCCCAGCGCCGCGGCAGCCACAUCCCCUACCGGGACUCCAAGAUCACCCGGAUCCUCAAAGACUCGCUGGGCGGGAACGCCAAGACGGUGAUGAUCGCCUGCGUCAGUCCCUCCUCCUCCGACUUCGACGAGACCCUCAACACCCUCAACUACGCCAGCCGCGCCCAGAACAUCCGCAACCGCGCCACGGUCAACUGGCGGCCCGAAACCGAGCGCGCCCCCGAGGAGGCGGCGGCCGGCACGCGGGGGCCCCCGCGCCACCGCUCGGAGACGCGCAUCAUCCACCGCGGCCGGCGCGUCCCCGGUGCCGCCAACGCCCCCGCCCCUGCCGCCGCCGCCGCCGCCGCCGCCGCCGCGCGUCUGGGCGCCGAGUGCGCGCGCUACCGGGCCCGCACCGACGCCGCCUACAGCCUCCUGCGCGAGCUGCAGGCCGAGCCCGGGCUGCCCGGCGCCGCGGCCCGCAAGGUGCGCGACUGGCUGUGCGCCGUCGAGGGCGAGCGCAGCGCCCUGAGCUCCGCCUCCGGGCCUGACAGCGGCAUCGAGAGCGCCUCCGCCGAGGAGCAGGCCACGCAGGGCCCCGGCGGGCCGACGGUGGCCAAGGGCCAGGACGAGGACGGGGCAGUGCAGCUGCUUGCACUGCAGAGCCAGGUGGCCCGGCUGGAGGAGGAGAACCGAGACUUUCUGGCCGCACUGGAGGACGCCAUGGAGCAGUACAAACUGCAGAGCGACCGGCUGCGGGAGCAGCAGCAGGAGAUGGCAGAGCUGCGGCUGCGGCUAGAACUGGUGCGGCCUGGCUGGGGGGCCCCAGGGCUCCUGCAGGGUCUGCCUCCUGGGUCCUUUGUGCCUCGGCCUCACACAGCCCCUCUGGGGUGUGCCCACAGCCACGUGCUGGGCAUGGUGCCUCCUGCCUGCCUUCCUGGAGACGAAGUUGGCCCCGAGAACUGGGGAGAGCAGGUGACAAAUGGCAGAGAGGCCGGAGCCAAGGGGGAGGCAGACGGGCCGGGAAGUGGAAGCUGCUCAUCGGCGGAGGCGGAGGGGGAGGAGGAGGAGGAGGAGCAAGCGGCUGAGCUGCCUCGGACCCUGCACCUGCGCAGAAACGGAAUCAGCAAGUGGAGCCAGAGGGUGGGGGCCCGCCCAGAGAGUCCACUCGACAGGAAGGGCCCAGAGCUUACCCUUGAGGAAGUGGGUGCAGCCAUCCCGGGGCCCAGAGUCAGUGGUGGGAGCAAGGCUCCGGCUCGACCCCGUCAGACCCCAGCGGCCAUGGCGUCUGAGUGGCGGCUGGCCCAAGCCCAGCAGAAGAUCCGAGAACUGGCCAUCAACAUCCGCAUGAAGGAGGAGCUCAUUGGCGAGCUGGUCCGCACAGGGAAGGCGGCCCAGGCCCUGAACCGCCAGCACAGCCAGCAUAUCCGGGAGCUGGAGCAGGAGGCAGAACAGGUGCGGGCUGAGCUGAGCGAAAGCCAGAGGCAGCUGCGGGAGCUUGAGGGCAAGGAGCCUCAGGACGCAGGCGAGCGCUCCCAGCUCCAGGAGUUCCGCAAGAGGGUCGCCGCCGCCCAGAGCCAGGUGCAGGUGCUGAAGGAGAGGAAGCAGGCGACGGAACGGCUGGCGUCGUUGUCGACGCAGCGCGAGAAGCGGCUGCAGGAGCUCGAGCGGCACGUGCAGCUCAUGCGGCAACAGCAGGGGCAGCUGCAGCGGCGGCUGCGCGAGGAGACGGAGCAGAAGCGGCGCCUGGAGACCGAGAUGAACAAGCGGCAGCACCGCGUCCAGGAACUGGAGCGAAGGCACGAGCAGCAGCAGAAGAUCCUGAAGAUCAAGACGGAAGAGAUCGCGGCCUUCCAGCGGAAGCGGCGCAGCGGCAGCAACGGCUCCGUGGUCAGCCUGGAGCAGCAGCAGAAGAUCGAGGAGCAGAAGAGGUGGCUGGAUCAGGAGAUGGAGAAGGUCCUGCAGCAGCGGCGGGCCCUGGAGGAGCUGGGGCAGGAGCUCCACAAGCGGGAGGCCAUCCUGGCCAAGAAGGAGGCCCUGAUGCAGGAGAAGACGGGGCUGGAGAGCAAACGCCUGCGGUCCAGCCAGGCCCUCAGCGAGGACAUCGUGCGCGUGUCCAGCCGGCUGGAGCACCUGGAGAAGGAGCUGUCGGAGAAGAGCGGGCAGCUGCGGCAGGGCAGCGCCCAGAGCCAGCAGCGCCUGCGCGGGGAGAUCGACGCCCUGCGCCAGGAGAAGGACUCGCUGCUGAAGCAGCGCCUGGACAUCGAUGGCAAGCUGAGGCGGGGCAGCCUGCUGUCGCCCGAGGAGGAGCGGACGCUGUUCCAGCUGGACGAGGCCAUCGAGGCCCUGGACGCGGCCAUCGAGUACAAGAACGAGGCCAUCACGUGCCGCCAGCGGGUGCUGCGGGCUUCCGCCUCCUUGCUGUCCCAGUGUGAGAUGAACCUCAUGGCCAAGCUCAGCUACCUCUCGUCCUCAGAGACCAGAGCCCUGCUCUGCAAGUAUUUUGACAAGGUCGUGACGCUCCGGGAAGAGCAGCACCAGCAGCAGAUUGCCUUCUCCGAGCUGGAGAUGCAGCUGGAGGAGCAGCAGAGGCUGGUCUACUGGCUGGAGGUGGCGCUGGAGCGGCAGCGCCUGGAGAUGGACCGCCAGCUGACCCUGCAGCAGAAGGAGCACGAGCAGAGCGUGCAGCUGCUACUGCAGCAGAGCCGAGAUCACCUCGGGGAGGGCCUAGCAGACAGCAAGAGGCACUACGAGAGCCGGAUUCAAGCCCUGGAGAAGGAGCUGGGCCGCCACAUGUGGCUGAACCAGGAACUGAAGCAGAAACUCGGUAGCUGGAGCGCUGCGGGCCCGAGCAGGGGGCCAGGUGCGGAGAAGAGGACGCUGUGCCUGGAGAGCAGAGCGGCCCCCGGGACCGAAGAGGAGCUCCCCGGCGCGCCCGAGCUGCUCCGGCCACAGCCCCUCCCUGACGGUGCCCCCCGCGCCCGGGAAGAGGUGCGGGACUUGGUCCGGGCCCCCCUCCCGCUGACGUGGAAACGGUCGAGCCUGUGCGGUGAGGAGCAGGGCUCCGGGGAGGAGGCGCGGCCGCGGGAGGCCCCCCCCCCGGCAGGGCGGGUGCUCCCGGGUGCGGAGGUGGCUCUGCCCUGGAACUUCGGGGUCCUGGCCAAAGCCCGGCGGGACCUGCGCAGAGCCAGCCCGGGAAUGAUUGACGUCAGGAAAAACCCCCUGUAGGCUCGUGGGCAGAGCCCGCCUUGGGGCGGGGGACGACCCUCUGAGCCCCCUGCGCAGUCCCGUUGCCUGCCUCUGCUUCUGGGAAGGACAGUCUCGAUUUCCCACCGCAGAUCCAGGUCCUGAUCUUGACCCCGUUGGAGUCUACAAAUUCCGGCUACAGCCCAAAUGAAUGGGACUCAAUUUUUUAAAUAUGCAGACUGAUGCCCCCUUUUUCCUUUGAGCUGUGGUACCAUAUUGCCAUCUUUUGGCUUGAGAGUUUGCAGAAGGCACUUCUGGCCUCAAGCCUGCGUCUGUGUGCCUGUCCUUCUGGAGUUCAGCCAGAGCCAGACCCAGAACCGUCAGUGCCAUCCGGGUAGGGUUUUAAAUGGUCUUAGGUUUAUGGUGGGAAUGGGGAAGCUUUGCCUAUUUUUAGAGUUUUGUAAAACCAUUUUAUAAUAAAGGAGUGUCUCUGAGAGGAGAAAUAGGAGUUUGACUUGGUUUCACCUACAAGACAAGAGAAUUUGAUGAGGACAUGACGGGCUUGAAAGCAUGUCAGACCCCUGAACCAGGGCCAAGUGAGACCUGCGCCCCCCCGCCCCCGGCCCGUCCUGGGUUGCAGGGCUGACUUGGAGAUGAGACACGGCACCAGCUACCACUGGAGCUCUGCCAGGGUAAGUCAAGCUGAGGCCUCGAGGUUUAAACAGAAAGGCACUGAAUGCUGCGUAGCUGGAGAGGGUUUUAUUAGGACGUGAGGAAGUUAAAUUCAUUCUCUGUCGGGCACAGCCUUCAGCUUUGGGAGGGACCCAUAAGGAGCCCUUUCUCCCACUUCCCAAGUGAGGGGGUGGUUGUUGGACUGGCUUUGGUCUCCCAGACGUGGGGGCUAGAAGGGGAGCCUGCUCUAAGUCCUUGUCUGCCUCCCCUAGCAAGGGGCAGGGCUGGGCGGCAGGCCUCCUGGGAGGGGGAGUAAAACCCGGAAGGGACUCGUGGGAAUCACAGAGACCUGAGACCAGGCCCUGGUAUCUGCAGGCUCCUGGGGACCAGGCUGACUUCAUCUUUUGAGCCUCCUCUGUUCAGAGCGCCCCGCUUCUUCCUGUUUCUGUGCAGCCGGCCCAGGGUGACGUGCGACAGAGUAGUCAGGUCCUGGCUCAGAGGAACUGAGUUUUCCUCUCUGACUGGAGGCCAGAAUUCCUGAAACGGCCAGAGCAAACAGCUCUCCAAGCACUGGUCUGUCCUGGGAAGGUGGUGGCUCUGGCCAAGCCCGGCGGUGGGUGUCCUAUGAAGUCCCCCACCCAGGUGCAUCCCAACUAGCUUAUCAGCUUCUUCCGGGUGUAAGUUCUGCUGAUGGCGCGUCUCCUGGAGAACGCUCGGCUGAAAGGAGAUUCCUCGGCCGUCGGGGGGAGGACCUCUAUGUCCUCAUCUAGACAAGACAGAGGGCAUGCAGGACGUGAGCAUGGAACAGAAAAGGGGCUUGAACGGGAGGGGGGUCCACAUGCAGAGGACUCCCCCCGCCCCCCCAGCCCUGCCUGCAGCUCACGUGCUAAGGAAGGGCAAGCUGCGCUUUCUGCUGGGCUCUGUGCCCUCACGCCAGCUGGGGCCGGUGGCGGUUAGUGACUGAGAAAGCACGGUACCAUGGUCUAAAUUCCUUCAGCUGGUUGUACAUUUAAAUUCUGGUCUUGGGGGUUGUGGCCUCCUGUGUUCCUCUAUAGUUCUAGAUGUUUCUACCCUGGUAGUGCACUGAGCACCUGCAAGCCAGUCCCGUCCCAGGUGGAGUCGAGGAAAGGGAAUCCUCGUGUCCGGAGGCUGAGCACAACGGCCGGUCUCUAAUCCUAAUCUAAGGACAGAGGUGUGACCCUGUGGGGGUUGGCGCAGACUGCCAGCGCGUCACCUGCCACCUGUGCUGCCCGACACACGCUCCUCAGGUGCCCGGGACUACACCGCACAGAGGUCACUGCUUCCAGAAGCUGUUUCACGACACACUGGAGUUCCAGCGGUGGAGUUUCUCUGGGACGAGCACAGGACCCCACAGGGACAAAGUCCUCUGUCCCAGCUCGGGCACUCCUUCCGACUCCUCCACGAUCCCACUGUCUGGCAACCCUGAGCUACCUCUGGGGAGUCCCCCGAAGGAGCCACGUAAGUCUCCAGGACCCUCGCUUAACGAGUUACCUCUGGCCUCGUGAUGCUGCGAGGAAGGCGUCCUCCCGUGGAACAGCAGCGGAGAGUGGGUGAGAGCCUGCAGGCCGCUGGCCGAGAGGCAGCUGCGCAGCGCCCAGCCGGGCGGGGGCGUGGAGGCUACGGGAGGGGACAGGGUGAGCGCGGCCCCGCGGCACCCCCAGACAGGGGAGCCUCCCGAUGCCUCUGUGCCCAGCACCGCCAGCCGCAACCCCAGGGACGCAGACUCACCCGGAAGGAACACGUCGUCGUCGCCCGCGGAGGGCAGGUGCCGCCCGCUCGCCCGCGGAGAUGGCUCCCUGCUCCCGCUAAGCUCUGCGUCUCCUCUCGGCUCCUCACGCGCUCUCUUGGCUGGACCCUCCGCUUCCUCCUUGGCAGGAAGGAGCCUCUUCCUGGAACCCAACCCGAACUGUCCCCAGGAGGCUUCCUCAGCCUGAGGCGCACAGUCCCUGGGAGGUGACUGGUCCGGUAGCCGGCACACCCCCUCAAGCUCAAAAUCCCCCAAGAGGGGCGUCCUGCUGCUGCCGAGUUCAAGGCCUCCUCGCUCCCUUCUCUCCUGCUCGAGCAGGGACACACCUGCAAGCCCCAGCCAGACGGCUGCCUCACGCCCCCACGUACCCAAUGAUCAUUCAUCUCGAUCAACCCCACCAGGCCUAAAGAGCGAGUAGUAGUGACAGAUCACCUGCUUACUUGUUCAUCCCUGACAGGCUCAGUGGGUUUUCUGGGCCAUGUCUCUGUUUUCCCCUCAAGACCACACUUUUUUAAACACCGAAGAAAUGUUAUACCUGAUAAGCUGUGGGUAUCUCAGAGCCUGGUGGGUUUCUGGAAGAUCUCUGAAUUCGAGCUGAACCCUUCUCUGAGGGACUGACCAUCUCGGACAAUGCCCCGAAAAGCAGCCUCUUGGGAGAACGAAUACUUUGGUUUGGAGAAUUUUCUCUUUGGCCUGUAAGUCAAAAACAGUGAGUCUUUCUCAGCUCCUGCCCUCCCAAUACUAAGAGAACAGCCAGUCCAUAGAAGAUGACAGUUUGACAGUGUUUUAAAGCAAGUAAGAGUGGGGAGGAAUCCCACCUAGUUAUGCCAGUUAUGGCUGCCAUCUUGAAUUUUAAUAAGCUGGUGUAUGAACUUCAUACAUAUAAGCCCUUAUAUGUUAGGCAAGUAAAACUAUUUGUAAAUAUAAAAGCACAUGACUGAGGUUCCAGACUAAUGGAUAAAAGCAUGAAGGCCAAACCUGUAUCACCUUCUAGCUAGGACAUCUGAGUGCAGAAUGUGAGCACGGGUGGAAAUAAUGGGUAAUUCCUGUUGAAUGGAUAAUUAUCCCGUAAGGAUAGUGUGGACGACCAGCUGUAAUAAUCCAGAGGGAGGACACUGUUGACGAAGGUCCUGGAUUGUUUGUCAUCCUGAACCUCUCAUGGACAUACCUGUUCUACUGCUCCAGCAUCAAGCAAGAAAAUGUCAAAUUUUGUACUUUUCCCAAAAACACUUCCUGCCAAGUAGGCCUAGACUUCUGAAAGCAGAUGAACAAGCAUCUUACCUGACUUUUCUUGCUGGAAUGAGUGAACUCUUUGCACACUUCGAGACGUUGGCUGAGAUCCAGAAUAGAAGGAACCAGAAUUUGUCCUGCUGAAUGACAACUGUUUGAUUCGAGGACUUCGUCUCAAGCUUACUUCUGCAAAACCAGAAUCCCAUUUAGUAUCCAGGGAGAAAUGCAAGCUUUUUACAUUUUCCCAUGUAUGAAAUAGAUAAAAUUUAUGUAAUACCACAUACAAGAUGGAAAUUUGACAAAGAUGGAGACUUCUGAAGUGUCGUAACAAAGCUACAAAGGUAUGAUGUAUGGCCCCAAAUGGUACAAAAAAAAAAACCAUUGCCACUAGACUGUCACCCUCACAAGUCUCAACUGCCAGCCUUUUAACCACAAUGUUGGGUGGGGGAAAAAAAGCUUUGUAUAGUGUGACUCUCGUAAAAAAUUUUUUUUAAUUUAAAAAUUGUAGUUUUCUUAUUUAUGUUACAUACAUUUUUACAGAAAUGGCACCUGUAAGAGUAUUAUUAAAACUAAAAUGUUAAAUAGUAUUUCUAAGUGGUGGGAUUAUGAAGUGACUGUUAAAAUUUUGCUUCUGUUUUCUGAUUUUUAUACAAUAAGCAAAUUACUUGAAUCAUUAAAAAAGGUUUUUUUAGGAAA